CCGGUGCCCGAAAGGGCUUCAAAGGGAAUGCGGUGCGGGCCCGAUCGGCCCUAAUCCGCAGCUGUCCCUGCAACUGUAAGCGGCGAGCGAGGCGAGCACGUGUCCGGCAUGGCCGGGCACAGCCACUGGGGAAACCUGGGAAGGCGCCCGCCGAGCCUUGACCCGCGAGCCAGGAGACCUGCCGGCGCU
rnacentral:ncRNA from 1 species